rnacentral:rRNA from 1 species
GACGGAGGAUGCAAGCGUUAUCCGGAAUUAUUGGGCGUAAAGCGUCCGUAGGUUGUCCUGCAAGUCUGUUGUUAAAGCCCACAGCUCAACUGUGGAUGGGCAAUGGAAACUGCAAGACUAGAGUGUGGUAGGGGUAGAGGGAAUUCCUAGUGUAGCGGUGAAAUGCGUAGAUAUUAGGAAGAACACCAGUGGCGAAGGCGCUCUACUGGGCCAUAACUGACACUGAUGGACGAAAGCUAGGGGAGCGAAAGGG